UCAGAUAGCUCAGUGUAAAAGCAGAGACUGAAUCUC
rnacentral:tRNA from 1 species